rnacentral:lncRNA from 1 species
CAUUUAGACCUUCACGGUUCAAUAGACUGAAAAAUGGAGUUGCAUCGCAAGAAGAUUACUAGAAACACAGGCGCGGCAAAGCCGCGCCCUUGUCUUAGCUAAGUGGCCCAUGGAUCCUCCAAAUCGGCUGCUAACCCUUUUUUUGUGCCGGGAGCCCAGGAGUUGUAACUAAAGGUAGACCUUAUAGUGUUAGGCCUAUUUUUCCUUAAAUCUAAUAAUGUACUGCUGGAGAUAGUGCACCUGUGUUAAAAAAAAAAAGGAGUUCGUGUGUGUCACCUUCUUAUUUUAACAAAGCACUGUAAAGUACAUCACUCAAGCAAUAGAAACAGAUCGUGAUACAUAGCAUAAGCACCUAAUGAAAGCAUCCGCUGCAAUCAUGAGCACCCAAGAUAAGUGGACUGAUUAAACGAAAAUUAAAGUUGUGGUCACAAUAGUUAGUAGAGCAAGAAAAUAUAACACCAAGGAAAAAUGCAGAGGAAUAAAGAAAAUGAAGGUCAGAAAAUUGAAGAUUUUACCCCUCCCAGCUGGAGUCAGUAGCAUGAUCUGAAAUAUGAAUCAACAUGAGAAUGAAAAACUUCUGAAUCAACAUGAGAAUGAAGAACAAAUUUGCUCAACAAAAAGAAUGAAGAACUAAGUAAAAUUACAAUUUGACCUUGUACUCUGUAUACUAAUACAGUUUUUUUAUUUCUAAUCUGAAUCCUUAAUCCUACGUCAGUAUUUACGACCGGUUUUGAAUCAUGUUCCUGAAUUGUAUAAAAGAGUGGCAGGUUAGAUGAAACCAAGCAUUAUAUUACUGCCAAUAUAGCUGAAUGUUGACUGACUCCCACUAUUGGACCCCUGAUAUACAGACAUAAAUGAGAACAUGAACAAAGUAUUCAAUAUUUGCUUGAUUGCUUUAUAUUUGCAUUGUAUGCCAUAUACAGAGUACUGCUACACUGAGAAGUUGCAAAUUACACCCUACAUUUCAGUACAGGAAUGGAUGGAAAUUAGGACAUAACCAUAAUAGAAUUGUCCAUUGUUAUCUAAUUGUUCUUUAGUUCUAAAUCUUCCGGUUUGGGUUUCUUCUUCUUUCUUUCCUCUUGGAAAAAGUAUCUAAAAAUUUAAUCCAUCAAAGAUUGUCCUUGUUCAGCAUGCAUGCAAGGAAGUAACAAUCUAACAAUCUAACACCAUUCCAAAAUUAUUGUUACACAAUUAUGGCUCUUAUGCUUUAGCACUAUAUCCUGGGAAAUGGAACUAUUCAGGACAAAUUGCAACUUAGUCAUGCAGGUUUAGUUCAAACAAACCUAUCUUACUGAAUACUGACAACUAACACGCCCUUGUCUUAGCUAAGUGGCCCAUGAAAAAUUUCAGAUUGUAGUACACUACAAAAUCUAAAAGGUAGCAUGCCAUAAAGCAGAAGACAUAUACUUUUUUAAAAACUAUAAUAAGAAAAGAAAAGUUCAGCCAAUUAGUGCUAAUUUGUCUCCUUAUCAGUUAAGCAUGCUGAAGCCCAACAUGCAGAUGCAGUAAGUAGGCUGGGAAACAGUGUAAUUUUGGGCUCAAGAAGAGGACGAGGCAAUCGGGCAAGUAAGCAACAAGAGCCGAUUUGAGUUCAUACUGGCUGGAUUGGCUGCCAUCGGCUGUACUCCAGGAGAUCUGCCGCCGGAGAGUGGGUCGGUGAUCUGCCAGCUUACUUACAUGCCUGUGUUUUGCAGUCCACUGCGUUGCCAUGCCAUGGCCCUUGUUCUUGAGCAGCAAUGUCAGUGGCCACGCCAGCUCGGAGAGAGACGCGGCCUGACGAACGGGUACAAUGGCUGCCCCUACCGCGAACAAUUAUCCUCUGCGCAUUGCUAUACUUGUGUCCUUCGAUGGGCAAGCCGACGGAAUGGUCAUGAGUUUGGUGAGGUUGCAGACGCCCGCACCGUUGGCCGAGCACAGCAUGCGCUUCCACAUUUCCAAAUCACAGCGCUCCGAACGUGUAUUUCAUCGAACACCUUACGUUAAUCCCUCGAGCGGCUGCAGCCUGCAGGCAACGAUGAGUUGAAGGGGGUUCUUGGAGACGAUUGCGUAGAGCUCGGCACCCUGGAGGAUCUGAGCCCAAGCCGCGACGGCCUUCCGUCAGCGCAGCGCGGCUAGAGCAGCCUACGGCGGUGUCGCUGUUGUAGUGGAAGGCAUACGCGUCGGCGACCUCGACGACGUCUCAGCACGCUUCAUCCCGUGGUACGCUGGUGUUCCACGCGCCCGAGGGAGGUGGGGUCUCUCAAGAUUCUAGAGCUCGACGCCGCCAUCGUGUUGGAGCUGCGGACGAACGGUGCUCUAUUUUGUGCGGGAGAGGAGGGUGGCUUGGCAGAGGAGGACGCGACAGCGGCGAUAGAGGAACGGGUCGCC